GACGAACGCUGGCGGCGUGCUUAACACAUGCAAGUCGAACGGUGAAGCGCCUUCCUUUUUGGUGGGUGUGGAUGAGUGGCGAACGGGUGAGUAACACGUGAGUAACCUGCCCCCUUCUUCUGGAUAACCGCAUGAAAGUGUGGCUAAUACGGGAUAUUCUGGGUCUGUCGCAUGAUGGGUCUGGGAAAGAUAUUGUUUCGGUGGGGGAUGGGCUCGCGGCCUAUCAGCUUGUUGGUGGGGUGAUGGCCUACCAAGGCGGUGACGGGUAGCCGGCCUGAGAGGGUGGACGGGCACACUGGGACGGAGACACGGCCCAGACUCCUACGGGAGGCAGCAGUGGGGAAUAUUGCACAAUGGGCGCAAGCCUGAUGCAGCGACGCCGCGUGAGGGAUGGAGGCCUUCGGGUUGUGAACCUCUUUCGCCAGUGAAGCAGGCCUGCCUCGUUUGUGGGUGGGUUGACGGUAGCUGGAGAAGAAGCGCCGGCUAACUACGUG
rnacentral:rRNA from 1 species